rnacentral:rRNA from 1 species
GAUGAACGCUGGCGGCGUGCCUAAUACAUGCAAGUCGAGCGAAUGGAUUAAGAGCUUGCUCUUAUGAAGUUAGCGGCGGACGGGUGAGUAACACGUGGGUAACCUGCCCAUAAGACUGGGAUAACUCCGGGAAACCGGGGCUAAUACCGGAUAACAUUUUGAACCGCAUGGUUCGAAAUUGAAAGGCGGCUUCGGCUGUCACUUAUGGAUGGACCAGGGUCGCAUUAGCUAGUUGGGGAGGUAACGGCCCACCAAGGCAACGAUGCGUAGCCGACCUGAGAGGGUGAUCGGCCACACUGGGACUGAGACACGGCCCAGACUCCUACGGGAGGCAGCAGUAGGGAAUCUUCCGCAAUGGACGAAAGUCUGACGGAGCAACGCCGCGUGAGUGAUGAAGGCUUUCGGGUCGUAAAACUCUGUUGUUAGGGAAGAACAAGUGCUAGUUGAAUAAGCUGGCACCUUGACGGUACCUAACCAGAAAGCCACGGCUAACUACGUGCCAGCCGCCGCAGUAA